rnacentral:rRNA from 1 species
AUGACCACGAACCGAACGCGUACCUCUUCUUGGACGGGAGCAAUGAGCAGCGGCCGCGGCAGGGGCUCCGGCUCCGGCUCCGGCGCCUCCCGCUCUUUCCACGCCCAGAACCUGUCCAAGCUCAUGCUGCCGCCCCUCGGCAGUAGCCUCAGCCAGUUCACUUCCGGCGACAAAUGGGUCGUCUCGCCCCUCGAGUCCAGAUACAGGUGGUGGGAGACUUUCAUGGUGAUCCUGACGGCGUACUCGGCGUGGGUGUACCCGUUCGAGGUGGCCUUCAUGGACGGCUCGCCCAAGCGGGGCCUGGAGGUGGCCGACAUGGUCGUCGACAUCUUCUUCACGGUCGACAUCGUCCUCACCUUCUUCGUCGCCUACAUCGACUCCAGGACGCAGCUCCUCGUCCGCGACAGGAGGAGGAUAGCCUUCAGGUAUCUGUCGACGUUUUUCAUCAUGGACGUGGCGUCGACAAUUCCGUUCCAAGGCCUGUCCUACCUCGUCCACGGCAAGGCAAGGGAAGGCUUGUUGUACAGCCUGCUCGUCCUGCUCCGGCUCUGGCGUCUCAGGAAGUUCCAACUGUUCUUCCCAAGGCUAGAGAAGGACAUCAGGUUCAGCUACUUCUGGAUACGCUGCGCACGGCUCAUCGCGGUUACUCUGUUCCUGGUGCACGGCGCCGGGUGCCUCUACUACCUGCUGGCGGACCGGUACCCGGACAGGGACAAGACGUGGAUCGGCGCGGCGACCCCCAACUUCCGGCAGGAGAGCCUGUGGAUCCGCUACAUCACCACCAUGAGCACCGUCGGCCAGGGUGACCUACACGCCCAGAACAAGCUCGAGAUGAUGUUCAACAUCUUCUACAUGCUCUUCAACCUCGGCCUCGCCGCCUACCUCAGCGGCAACAUGACCAACCUGGCCCUCCAGGGCACACGCCGCACCAUGGAGUUCAGGAACAGCAUUUGCGCCGCGUCCGACUUCGUGUGCCGGAACCGCCUGCCGCCGCGGCUGCAGCAGCAGAUCCUGGCCUACAUGUGCCUCAAGUUCAGGGCGGAGAGCCUGAACCAGCAGCAGCUCAUGGACCAGCUGCCCAAGUCAAUCUGCCAGAGCAUCUGCGAGCACCUCUUCCUCCCCGUCGUCAAGGAGGUGUACCUCUUCAAGGGGAUCUCCAGAGAUGCGCAGCUGCUCCUGGUCACCCAGACCAAGCCGGAGUACAUACCGCCCAAGGAAGACGUGAUCGUGCAGAACGAGGCGGCGGACGGCGUGUACAUCAUCGUGUCCGGCGAGGUGGAGAUCAUAUACUUCAACGGCGAGCGGGAGGAGGUGGUGGGAAAGCUGGGGACCAUGGACAUCUUGGGCGAGGUGAGCGCGCUGAGCGACCGCCCGCAGACCUUCACGUUCCGGACCAGGACGCUGAGCCAGCUGCUGAGGCUGAAGCAGGCCACGCUCAGGGAGGUCAUGGAGAGCAAGCCCGACGACAGAGCCCUCAUCUUCAGGAACUUGCUCAAGCAUCAGAUCGAGGUGCAUGACAUGAAGGACCUGCUGGGCGAGAGCGAGAGCACCGGAGCGGGCGGCAGCGGCAACAUCGUCCCGUGCAAUCUGCUGACGGUCGCCGCCACGGGGAACGCUGGCUUCCUUGAGGACCUCCUCAAGGUCGGGAUGGACCCUGACGUCGGUGACUCCAAGGGAAGAACCGCGCUGCACAUCGCCGCGUCAAAGGGGUACGAGGACUGCGUGCAGGCUCUACUCAGCCACGGCUGCAACGUCAACAUCAAAGACGCGCAGGGCAACACGGCGCUGUGGCAGGCUAUCGCGGCGCGGCACCACAAGGUGUUCAGCAGCCUGUACCACGUCGCGCGGGACUCGAACCGGCGCGCCGGCGGCGACCUCCUGUGCCACGCCACGCGGCGCGGGGACCUCGACACUCUCCGCGAGCUGCUCAAGCACGGCCUGGACGUCGACUCCGAGGACAAUGACGGCUCCACCGCGCUGCGCGUCGCGCUGUCCGAGGGCCAGGCCGACCUGGCCAGGUUCCUUGUCAUGAACGGGGCCAGCCUCGACGACGACGGCUACACCCAGCGCCAGACGACGGUGCCGGUGGCCAAGCUGCGCGAGCUCGUGGAGAGGCGGGAGGUCGGCCACCCGAUAACGGUAUACGACUCGCCGAGGGCGGACACCGUCACGGUGGUCGGCUCGUCGUCCGAGGAGCUUCGUCGGGGAAGGUUCCCCGGCACCACGAGCAAGAAACCGGACAGCGCGCACUGGCCCCGGGUGAGCAUCUACAAGGGCCAUCCGUUGGUCAGAAACCACAGCUCCGAAGCCGGCAAGCUCAUAAAUCUGCCCGCCACGACCACGAUGGAGGAGCUCAAAACCAUCAUUGGGGAGAAACUGAAAGUCGGCGCGGAGAAGGCGCUGGUCAUGAACGACGAAGGACUGGAGAUCGACUCGGUGGACGUGAUCCGCGACAAAGACAAGCUGUUCAUUGUCACCGAAGAGCACAUGAGGAUGUUGGCGUCAAUAUAA